CCUACGGGUGGCUGCAGUAGGGAAUUUUCGGCAAUGGGGGGAACCCUGACCGCGCAACGCCGCGUGAACGAAGAAGUUAUUCGUAAUGUAAAGUUCUUUUAACAGGGAAGAAAGAGAAAUUUGACGGUACCUGAAGAAUAAGCUCCGGCUAACUACGUGCCAGCAGCCGCGGUAAUACGUAGGGAGCGAGCGUUAUCCGGAUUUAUUGGGUUUAAAGGGUGCGCAGGCGGAUUUUUAAGUCAGCGGUCAAAUCGUGGGGCUCAACCCCAUCCAGCCGUUGAAACUGGGGAUCUAGAGUGUGCGAGAGGUAUGCGGAAUGCGGGGUGUAGCGGUGAAAUGCAUAGAGAUCACGCAGAACCCCGAUUACGAAGGCAGCAUACCGGUGCACAACUGACGCUCAGGCACGAAAGCGUGGGUAUCGAACAGGAUUAGAUACCCGUGUAGUC
rnacentral:rRNA from 1 species